CCAAGGAUGGGCAUCCUGCAUACGUGCUUUAGCAGCUGCUGAGCUUCUUAUCCGCUAGGGGCUCUCUCCCAGGGACUGACUGGCAACUUGACUUCAUCCACAUGCCCACAGUCAUGUGAGUUAAAAACCUCCUGGUACAAGUGGAUACUUUCUCAGGGUGUGUAGA
rnacentral:lncRNA from 1 species